rnacentral:piRNA from 1 species
UACGGGUGAUUCCCGCGAUCGCGUGU